rfam:Camelus ferus unplaced genomic scaffold scaffold297, whole genome shotgun sequence.
GAAGGUAUAGCUCAGUGGUAGAGUGCUUGCUUAGCAUGUAUGAGGUCCUGGGCUCAAUCCCCAGUAACUCCA